rnacentral:rRNA from 1 species
UACGGGGGGAGCAAGCGUUGUUCGGAUUUACUGGGCGUAAAGGGCGCGUAGGCGGCCACCGCAAGUCGACUGUGAAAUCUCCGGGCUUAACCCGGAAAGGUCAGCCGAUACUGCGGGGCUAGAGUGCAGAAGGGGCAACUGGAAUUCUCGGUGUAGCGGUGAAAUGCGUAGAUAUCGAGAGGAACACCUGCGGCGAAGGCGGGUUGCUGGGCUGACACUGACGCUGAAGCGCGAAAGCUAGGGGAGCAAACAGG